rnacentral:rRNA from 1 species
AUUGAACGCUGGCGGCAGGCCUAACACAUGCAAGUCGAACGAGUGGCGGACGGGUGAGUAAUGUCUGGGAAACUGCCUGAUGGAGGGGGAUAACUACUGGAAACGGUAGCUAAUACCGCAUACCAUCAGAUGUGCCCAGUUGGGAUUUGCGAGUAGGUGGGGUAAUGGCUCACCUAGGCGACGAUCCCUAGCUGGUCUGAGAGGAUGACGCACCACACUGGAACUGUGACACGGCCCAGACUCCUACGGGAGGCAGCGGUGGGGAAUAUUGCACAAUGGGCGCAAGCCUGAUGCAGCCAUGCCGCGUGUGUGAAGAAGGCCUUCCGGUUGUAAAGCACUUUCAGCUAGGAGGCGUUACUCGCAGAAGAAGCACCGGCUAACUCCGUGCCAGCAGCCGCGGUAAUUC